rnacentral:rRNA from 1 species
UACGAAGGGGGCUAGCGUUGUUCGGAAUUACUGGGCGUAAAGCGCGUGUAGGCGGGUAUUUAAGUCAGGGGUGAAAGGCCAAGGCUCAACCUUGGAACUGCCUUUGAUACUGGAGAUCUUGAGUGCGGGAGAGGUGAGUGGAAUUGCGAGUGUAGAGGUGAAAUUCGUAGAUAUUCGCAAGAACACCAGUGGCGAAGGCGGCUCACCGGCCCGGUACUGACGCUGAGGUGCGAAAGCGUGGGGAGCAAACAGG